rnacentral:rRNA from 1 species
GACGAACGCUGGCGGCGUGCUUAACACAUGCCAGUCGAACGGAAAGGCCCUGCUUGCAGGGUGCUCGAGUGGCGAACGGGUGAGUAACACGUGGGUGAUCUGCCCCUUACUUUGGGAUAAGCCUGGGAAACUGGGUCUAAUACUGGAUAGGACCAUGCUGUAGGUGGUGUGGUGGAAAGAUUAGUUUCGGUAAGGGAUGAGCUCGCGGCCUAUCAGCUUGUUGGUGGGGUAAUGGCCUACCAAGGCGUCGACGGGUAGCCGGCCUGAGAGGGUGGACGGCCACAGUGGGACUGAGAUACGGCACAGAAUCCUACGGGAGGCAGCAGUGGGGAAGAGUGCACAAUGGGCGCAAGCAUGAUGCAGCGACGCCGCGUGGGGGAUGACGGCCUUCGGGUUGUAAACUCCUUGCAGCCAUGACGAAGCCCUUGUGGUGACGGUAGUGGUAGAAGAAGCACCGGCUAACUACGUG